GACGAACCGUGCGAGCGUUAUUCGGAAUCACUGGGCUUAAAGGGUGCGUAGGUGGCGAUGUAAGUCAGAGGUGAAAUCCCAUCGGCUCAACCGCGGAACUGCCUUUGAUACUGCAUUGCUUGAGGAAGAUAGGGGCGCGUGGAACUACCGGUGGAGCGGUGAAAUGUGUUGAUAUCGGUAGGAACGCCGGCGGCGAAAGCGACGCGCUGGAUCUUUUCUGACACUGAGGCACGAAAGCUAGGGUAGCGAACGGG
rnacentral:rRNA from 1 species